GUGGGGAAUAUUGCACAAUGGGGGAAACCCUGAUGCAGCGACGCCGCGUGAGGGAAGAAGUAUUUCGGUACGUAAAGCUCUAUCAGCAAGGAAGAAAAUGACGGUACUUGACUAAGAAGCCCCGGCUAACUACGUGCCAGCAGCCGCGGUAAUACGUAGGGGGCAAGCGUUAUCCGGAUUUACUGGGUGUAAAGGGAGCGUAGACGGUAUGGUAAGUCAGAUGUGAAAGCCCGGGGCUCAACCCCGGGACUGCAUUUGAAACUAACAGACGAUAGUGCAGGGGAGGUAAGUGGAAUUCCUAGUGUAGCGGUGAAAUGCGUAGAUAUUAGGAGGAACACCAGUGGAGAAGGCGGCUUACUGGACUGUAACUGACGUUGAGGCUCGAAAGCGUGGGGAGCAAACAGGAUUAGAAACCCCAGUAGUCC
rnacentral:rRNA from 1 species